CCGAGGCAUUCAAGCAUGACAUUUGAAAUAGAGGGUGCAUUGACUUGUAUGAGCCCUGUAGUAUGUUAGUCUCCUGCAAUGUAAAGGUGUAAAGUUAAAUUUAGAAGUUGCUGGUACAACCCAUGGUUUUUCACAGCUGUGUUUUCACUCUCGCUCCUUUGUGGAAGAAUGUGAGAUUUAGAAGAUGCACUAUUUAUCUAGAGUUCUUCUGCAUUUUUGAGAGGAGAAUUUUACCAAACAUUUUUACAAAUGUCUCCCUCCUCUCGUAUGAUACCAUAGCACUGCUUAAAGCACUCUUCCACGGCACCCCAGGAUAUGUCUCAGCCCUGAAGCUAUUCCCGGUUGCAUGCUGAUAAAGAACAAAUGCUGCCUAACAGGCAGAGAGGAGGCUGAAUUCGGGCAGAACCAGCUGGUGCAAGAGGAGCCACAGAGUGGGAUAAAUCACUGUUUCUGCACAUCAGGAUCUCUGGCCAUGCACCUAAAGCAGCAGAGGACGCUCAGCAUUUCCUUGUUUCCUGGUGGCAAAAAUAUCUGCAAGUACUCACCAUCUCUGCAAAUUAUCCUGUACUUGAUGACAGAUGGUCACGAGGGUGUCUGUGGCUGAAUAUCUCUAGAGAGUCUUUGGACAAGCUGAAACUCCCAGGACCAGCUGAAUCCUCAAGGUGGCAGCCAAAGUUGGGCAGAGAGAUGGAAUUGCACAUCUGCCAGAAGCAGGAAGGAAGAGAAGAUCUGCAACCACUGCAAUGUGGACUUAGACACCUAUACACCUCCUCCAGUGGCUCUCUGUUCAGUGUCUUCUGCUGCAUCCCAAAAACCGGACUGCAGCUUCUCUACGUGUCUGGAAACAAUAGCUGUGGGACAGAUGGACAGACAGCCAGAUGCAACGGGGGGAAGUGUGGAAGUGCAGAAAGAAGUGGGG
rnacentral:lncRNA from 1 species